CCUACGGGCGGCUGCAGUGGGGAAUAUUGGGCAAUGGGCGCAAGCCUGACCCAGCAACGCCGCGUGAAGGAAGAAGGCCCUCGGGUUGUAAACUUCUUUUAUUAGGGACGAAAUAAAUGACGGUACCGAAUGAAUAAGCCACGGCUAACUACGUGCCAGCAGCCGCGGUAAUACGUAGGUGGCAAGCGUGAUCCGGAUUUACUGGGUGUAAAGGGCGUGUAGGCGGGAGUGCAAGUCCGACGUGAAAUGCCCGGGCACAACCCUGGAACUGCGUUUGAAACUGUUCUUCUUGAGUGAUGGAGAGGCAGGCGGAAUUCCGAGUGUAGCGGUGAAAGGCGUAGAUAUACGGAGGAACACCAGUGGCGAAGGCGGCCUGCUGGACAUUAACUGACGCUGAGGCGCGAAAGCGUGGGGAGCAAACAGGAUUAGAUACCCUGGUAGUC
rnacentral:rRNA from 1 species